GGUUUCAAGAAAAGAAUAUGUAAUAUCAUGCUUUUCCACCUGCGUGUUCUGAAGCAACUGAGAGAUGAAUAAGAGGAUGACCAGAUGAAAGAGUAGUUUCCUUCAAAGCCCACAGUCAUUUUGGAAUGGGAAUUAUACCACGAGUGAAAUAAGAAACUGUAAAUAGGCUUUGGCACAACGAUUGUACUCUCAGGCGCCAAGUUUUGUUGGCAAGAAUUCUGGUUAUGAGAUGGUCCACAGAGAACUGAGUAAGAACAAUGGUAUACUUUAUUAACUAAAAUGAUCACAUCUUGCUUUAUUAUUUAUUUGUUUUUUUUUUUAACUAUCCUAGAACAGAUAAUGUAUUGUAGUUUGUUGCCUCGGGAAAGAUUUCAUUCUGCUUACGUGACACAGAGAGAAGCUGGCUUAAACUUCCCUUGGAUCCUUCCUAUACUUGGCUUUGUGCUAAAGAGUCACACAGUUGUGGGAAUCUUGCAAGCAUAAUUUCAAUUUCUACUUUCAGAUCAGAAUCAAGGAAGGAUUAGAAAGGAGUCCAUUUCAAAAUGUAUAGACCACUUCAGAAAUACUUAUUCUAUCCUACCUGUUCUGAAUAUAUUAAAUUUAUUAAAAACGGCUAAGUACCCUGCCAAAUUUUUUGUUAAUAUUAUAAUCAAAUGUACUUAGUUAUUGGUGUCUCCGCAACCACUGAAAAUGCCAUGCGAUUAUAAACAGAAUAUGUUUUCUCAUUUGAAAUGGCAAAGCCCCAGAGGUUCUAAUAGCCACCCUCUUACAGAUACAUUAUUCAUUGUAAACUAGCUUUCUAGAAUCCUAGAUUAUGGAGAACUAAGUAUCUUCUAUAUUUUAAACCACGUGUAUGUUAAUGUAUAUAAUGAGCAUUUCAAAUAAUCUUUUUGCUUCUGGUCAACUUUUUAUUUUUAUUGUUUUAAUAAUAAAGGCGGCCGGGCAUGGAGGGUCACGCCUAUUAUCCCAGCACUUUGGGAGGCCAA